rnacentral:pre_miRNA from 1 species
CCAGUCGCAGCCGAUGCUCCACAGGAGAGGACCAAGGACUGAUCCUAGCGGAACACCGCGCUCGACGAG